GAGAAGUAUCUGCAGUUUCAGCAUUUUUGGAUAUCAAAAGGAACUCUAUCCCCCCCUUGUGAGAUAAAUAUGUACAUGAAAACCCCUCUAUAGUUGAUAAUUUAAGAGUAUGAGAAAACCUUUUCUCACGCUGUUGUUACUGAAAUGAUUUCACAAGUUAAAACCCCUACUUCUACGUGAAUUUCCAUAACAUUAACUCUCCGAGCUGCAAUCAUUCUGGAGCUGAUCUUAUAUCUACACAACCUUAUUCACAUUUUGAUUAAGGAGUGUUGCAAAAUCACCAGGCUGGACGACUACAGGAGGAUGCAGUGAGAAAACAUACGAGACAGGCCUCGACUGCACCAUUGGCUUUCUGGCUCUAACCUCAUCGAAUAAUUCUCCAAGGUUCUGUUCAUCAAAUAGAAAUGAUUCAUUGAGAAAAAAGCAGCACUCCCUCGCCAGCUUUUCCACCUGUAGGUGUGAGAAACGUAUGUUAUUCAUGGUGAUAAUUACUGUAGCUUCAUAUAAGGCAUCUCCAAGUAUCCGGAUGGCAAAAUACUCAAAAAAGGUCUGCACCAUGCUCCUAUCCCCUUCUUUAUGUUCUGCUUCAAAUUUUGGGAACCAUAGGACACAUUUAACUUCAUCCCAUGGAACUGAACUCCCUGCAGUUUUGGAUAAUAUCGUGUUGUAUGGAUGUGAAUGGCCCCAGAGAAUUCUGACUCCAGUUGGUAACUGAUCAAGUGUGGAUUCAUCUCGAAGGGAUGUUGUGGAAAUU
rnacentral:misc_RNA from 1 species